CACGCCGUAAACGAUGUCAACUAGCCGUUGGGUUCCUUGAGGACUUAGUGGCGCAGCUAACGCAUUAAGUUGACCGCCUGGGGAGUACGGCCGCAAGGUUAAAACUCAAAUGAAUUGACGGGGGCCCGCACAAGCGGUGGAGCAUGUGGUUUAAUUCGAAGCAACGCGAAGAACCUUACCAGGCCUUGACAUCUACAGAACUUUCCAGAGAUGGAUGGGUGCCUUCGGGAACUGUAAGACAGGUGC
rnacentral:rRNA from 1 species